AACCAACCGGGAUUGCCUUAGUAACGGCGAGUGAAGCGGCAAAAGCUCAAAUUUGAAAUCUGGUACCUUCGGUGCCCGAGUUGUAAUUUGGAGAGGGCAACUUUGGGGCCGUUCCUUGUCUAUGUUCCUUGGAACAGGACGUCAUAGAGGGUGAGAAUCCCGUGUGGCGAGGAGUGCGGUUCUUUGUAAAGUGCCUUCGAAGAGUCGAGUUGUUUGGGAAUGCAGCUCUAAGUGGGUGGUAAAUUCCAUCUAAAGCUAAAUAUUGGCGAGAGACCGAUAGCGAACAAGUACAGUGAUGGAAAGAUGAAAAGAACUUUGAAAAGAGAGUGAAAAAGUACGUGAAAUUGUUGAAAGGGAAGGGCAUUUGAUCAGACAUGGUGUUUUGUGCCCUCUGCUCCUUGUGGGUAGGGGAAUCUCGCAUUUCACUGGGCCAGCAUCAGUUUUGGUGGCAGGAUAAAUCCAUAGGAAUGUAGCUUGCCUCGGUAAGUAUUAUAGCCUGUGGGAAUACUGCC
rnacentral:rRNA from 1 species